CUCCUCUGGAGAGCUCACCAUCAUGUCUUCCUUUCUAUUUCUCCUUGCUCUUCUUAUUUACUGCUUAGGUAAAGCUGGGGAGGAGAUCUCAUGUUCCAUUGGCCAACCAAAAGCUUUUAUCAUAUUUACUUAUUUGAGAACACUGAAAACGUUCCUUUUCUCAAUUCUCUUAAAACAGGUGUCAACUCUCAGCCAACUUGCACUCAGCCUGCCUCUGAGUCUGUGGCGCCAGGUCAAACAGUUAAACUCUCCUGUACAACUAGUGAUACAGGUGAGCGUGUUAGCUGGUAUCAACAGAGAUCAGGGCAGGCCCCUCGAUUUGUGCAGCAUGAGAGUAGCAGCAGGGGAGAAGGGAUCCCGGAUCGAUUCACCGCUUCUCGCUCUGGGAACAUUGGCUAUUUAACCAUCACCAACGUCCAGGCUGGAGACGAGGCAGUUUAUUACUGUGGCAGAUGGUAUAGCAGUGCUAGUGGGUUC